GGGCGCGUAGCUCAAUUGGCAGAGCGUCUGAUUUACAUUCAGAAGGUUUCAGGUCCGAUUCCUGACGCGCCCA
rnacentral:tRNA from 1 species